GUCAGUUCUUCCGAGGGUGAUUCCGAUUCCAGCUGAGUGUUAAAGCUCUUUGUAUAGUGGAACUCAAUUUGCAGCCUCUGAUGAAGUGGUGUAGAUGCCAUCAACCCUUUCUUCACAUCAACUUGUAAUUCCCUAAUGGGGAUUGCUGCCAAAAAACUCUUAAUGUACUCUUUGCAAGCCUCUUUACCUUUGCAAACAAGGCUCGGUUCGUCCUCAUUUUCAGGUACUUUAUCUCUGAAGGCAACGGUUGAUUCUUCCAUCUUUUCGUUGGUGUUAUUUGAGAGAAUCUUCCGUUCAUUAGUAGCCUGCUUCUUAUCAGUUUGCUCCUUUUUAGUGCUAGCUGAUUUCUCAUCUGAUUGUUGACUCGUGUUAGGUAGCUGCAAGAUUGUAG